rnacentral:rRNA from 1 species
GACGAACGCUGGCGGCGUGCUUAACACAUGCAAGUCGAACGGAAAGGCCCUGCUUUUGUGGGGUGCUCGAGUGGCGAACGGGUGAGUAACACGUGAGUAACCUGCCCUUGACUUUGGGAUAACUUCAGGAAACUGGGGCUAAUACCGGAUAGGAGCUCCUGCUGCAUGGUGGGGGUUGGAAAGUUUCGGCGGUUGGGGAUGGACUCGCGGCUUAUCAGCUUGUUGGUGGGGUAGUGGCUUACCAAGGCUUUGACGGGUAGCCGGCCUGGGAGGGUGACCGGCCACAUUGGGACUGAGAUACGGCCCAGACUCCUACGGGAGGCAGCAGUGGAGAAUAUUGCACAAUGGGCGGAAGCCUGAUGCAGCAACGCCGCGUGCGGAAUGACGGCCUUCGGGUUGUAAACCGCUUUCGCCGGUGACGAAGCGUGAGUGACGGUAAUGGGUAAGAAAGCACCGGCUAACUACGUG